CCGCAACACUGCGAAGGCACCCACGUCCCACGCUCCACUCUCCAAUCGACCGCCUCGCCCAAGAAAAAUUGCUCCACCCACACGCUCCUCACGUCGCUCCGGGCAAGGCGUCGCCUCGCCGGCCGAUAGGGUUCCUGCGCAACCGCCUCGCCAAAUCCAGGUCGCCUGAUGCCAGACGUCGGCCUCGUCGCAGAACUCUGGCCCCUCGUCGCCGCAGAGCUCCUUCCCCGCCUCUGACUCGCCCGACACCUGGCGCCGCCGUGACCCGUACCCGCCCCCGCGCCAGCUCGCCCCGCUACUCAGGCUCCGCCUUGCCCGAGCUCCCCCCGCCCUCGCCGCCAGCUGCGUUGCCCGAGGCCGCCCAGUCCCAGCCAGCUCGUUGGUCGCUGAUCAAGUUAGGGCUAUAUAUACGUCCAAAUUCAGAUCACAAUGGUGCCCAACAAGGAGGGAAUCAGCUGGACAAGGGAAGAAGCCUGGAAGGUAAUUUUGAUUAAUUCUAGAAUGGCAGGACCAUGAUGGAUGUCAGCGAGCUGUGUCUUGAUGAAUGCCAUUUUUCACAUAUACAUACUACUUGCUUUGAUACAUUUGCCUCUUCCUCGGAUUAGUAUGUCUCAAUUUUUGGUUCUUCAUAUACAUGCCACUUGACUAAUUAUUCAAUUUUCUCUAAAAUUGUCUGUGCCCCAAAUACGUCUCUGUAGAGCUCGGAAAUCUAUCAUGCAUAGCAAGAGUAUGAUUUUUUUUAAAUUAAUAUGUUUUAAAAAACUGAGUUAGGAAUAUUUGGAUAACAUACAAGAUAUGUACCUUGCCUUUUCCCGAAAAGAAUAGAUGCCCAUUGUGAGUUGGGCACGUCUGUAUAUUCUUUUCAUAGAGUUAGGAAUAUGAUGGAAGUGCAGUGCUGGUCAUAGGCUGAUGGCCGCUCGCUGAUUCAAUUCAUGCUUGGUUUUCCUGUUUAUGAGAAUGAAGGCCUCUUGGCCCCUCCACCAUGUCGGAACUUUUGUACUUUAUACGACUUUUUAUCCUUAUUUUCUGUUGGACAUUUCAGUUAAGGAAAAUGGUUUAUAAUGGACAACUGCUUCUGAUUUUCAGUUUACAUAGCCAGGGAAGAUUUGAUGCGAGGCAUGAAACACUUUGUUGUUAUUUCAUAGGACGAGUAGGAAAUGACAACAGCUAUCAUUUCGUUUGCGGGGAUGAUUUGAUGCUACUGGAUGUCACUUGAUUGAGUAGGAAAUGAUAGCUGUUGUCAUUUAACAACUUGUAUAUCUACUAGUUGAGUGCCCGUGCGUUGCCACGGACCAUCAAAUUUGCUUAUUGCUCACAAUCCUGCCGCCUA